rnacentral:rRNA from 1 species
GACGAACGCUGGCGGCGUGCCUAACACAUGCAAGUCGAACGGAAAGGCCCGGCUUUUGCUGGUUGCUCGAGUGGCGAACGCGUGAGUAACACGCGAGUAACCUGCCCCUGACUUUGUGAUAACUCCACGAAACUGGGGCGAUUACCGGAUAGGAUCUCCUGCUCCACGGGGGUCGUUGGAAAGUUUCGGCGGUUGGGGAUCGUCUCGCUGCUUAUCAGCUUGUUUGGCGAGUAGUGGCUGACCAAGCUUUUGACGGGUAGGCGGCAUGAGAGGGUGACCGGCCACAUUGGGACUGAGAUACGGACCAGACGGCUACGUGAGGCAGCAGUCGGGAAUCUUGCACAAUGGGCGGAAGCCUGAUGCAGCGGCGCCGCGUGCGGGAUGCCGGCCUUCGAGUUGUAAACAGCUUUCGAAUGUGACGAAGCGUGCGUGACGGUAAUGAGUAAAGAAGCAACGGCUAACUACGUG